rnacentral:tRNA from 1 species
UGGUUCAGUGGUAGAUUUCUCGCCUUCCAAGCAGGAGACCCGGGUUCAACUCCCGG